UACGUAGGCAGCGAGCGUUGUUCGGAGUUACUGGGCGUAAAGGGUGUGUAGGCGGUUGUUUAAGUUUGGUGUGAAAUCUCCCGGCUCAACUGGGAGGGUGCGCCGAAUACUGAAUGACUUGGAGUGCGGGAGAGGAGAGUGGAAUUCCUGGUGUAGCGGUGAAAUGCGUAGAUAUCAGGAGGAACACCCGUAGCGAAGGCGGCACUCUGGGCCGAUACUGACACUGAGGAGCGAAAGCGUGGGGAGCGAACAGG
rnacentral:rRNA from 1 species